UCCGGCGGCCAUAGCGGCGGGGAAACACCUCUUCCCAUUCCGAACAGAGAAGUUAAGCCCGCCAGCGCCGAUGGUACUCGGAGGGAGACCUCCCGGGAGAGUAGGUCGCCGCCGGAA
rnacentral:rRNA from 1 species